rnacentral:misc_RNA from 1 species
UUUCCGUAGGUGGACCUGCGGAAGGAUCAUUCAUAAUAAAGUGUUUUAUGGCACUUUUUAAAAAUCCAUAUCCACCUUGUGUGCAAUGUUAGAUCUCGUCAAUCUUGGCGAGAUUUUUAUACAUCAACUCAUUCUUUAACUAAUUUGUCUGAAAAAUAUUAUGAAUACUUAAUUCAAAAUACAACUUUCAACAACGGAUCUCUUGGCUCUC